GUUGCGCGGCGGCGCUGGUGUCUGAGGCGGUGGCUCCGCUCUUCCGCCGCUCGGCACCCCGGCCCCGCCGAAACCGGAGAGCUGUCAUUCUUUCAUCUGCCUUUGUGCUGAAGAAGGUGGUGUGAACACUCUGACCAGGAGGAAUCAUAACCAGGAUCCCCAGCAGCAAGCACACCCUGCGAGGCAGUAGCUGGAACUGCUUCACUGCAGUAAGGAGUAUUCUCGUGUGCUGGGGCCUGGAGCCAAUGGCAGACAAUGUCAACAACUAACAACAUAGCGCAAGCCCGCAAGCUGGUGGAGCAGCUCCGCAUCGAAGCUGGCAUCGAGAGGAUCAAGGUCAACAUUUACAAAGAAGAAGGGAAAAAAACCCAAAACCCAUGAUUGAGGGGUGGGGGGAGUAUUUUUAAUAGCGACAUUUAUAAUUGGUAGUGGGGUGGUGGAGGCAGCAGGGGUUCUUAUUGCAUCUGCCAAUGCAAGAUCUAAGUAGUGGGACCUCCCCAUAGAAGCUUUGAACAAAGCUCUGAGUGGGUCUCAUCCAAUUAGUUUCUAAUUAGCACAUUGUUGCAAGAAUUUGCUCUGUUCCUUGAGGAGGGAACAAGGGAGAAGAGUCCAGGGGGGGAGUUAUUUUGUAGAAAGCUAGGACAAAAAAGGAAAACAAAACAAACCAACCAAACCAACCAAAACACAGCUUGGAAAACUGCUGUUGCAAAUGGGUAAACUGAGGCUGGGGGGAGGAGGAGGAGGAUGGAGGCCAGGAGGCUCCCUCCUUGUGCCGCACGGCUCUGCUUGGAGGAGGGGAUGGUACCACAGGAAAACGCUCUAUAGUGUCAUGUCUAUUGGCCAAGAGUUUCCAUGAGCAAUGUUAGGAAGCCUGAGGCAUGGGAGAGGCCGGGCUUGAGCUGCUCUGAUUGCUUCUGAGGUUUCUCUGUGCUGUUAUCACUGGUUUUCCCAAAUGGGACUGUACCGGGGAGGGGUGGGAGGGGAGCUUUCAGUUGUGCCAUAUCACAUGAAAAAUCUUUUUAAGUUUGCCUUUUGGUGAGUCUUCGUUCAAAACACUAAAUUUGACAGAUCUACGAGCAUUCUCCAUCUCCCUUUCUCUUACCAAGAGCGGCAAAUGGAAUUUGUUCCACGGAACCCAGUUAAUUCAGGGAGAUGAGGGUAAGGCUGUAGAAGAAAUAAGUUCUUUUCCCAUCCCUUGGAAAUCUUGAAAUGCCAUUUCAACGGGAGCGCUCUGUUCACCAAUGUUAAACGUUGCAGCGCCAGGGAGAACGUGGUAUGGAGCAGCUGUGAGGAAGAGGGGACAAGCAGGCGAGCCUUCCUCCCACUGCCCACCACAGAGCCCUGAUGGCAACAGAGCCCAGCGGCUCCGUGCUGGGACAGGCGGAUGCUCAGGAGGAAAUAUCAGAGCUCAGGGAAGUCCCACUGUGUUUUCCCCUUGUCGCUGGAGCUGCUACCCCACGGUAGGCAGAGGCAUGGUUCUAUUUCCUAACCAGCAUGCUCGUACUCGUUCCCAGUUAUCCUGAACACAGGCACCCCGUGCCGGGGUCUGAAUACAGGCGAUGAUGAGUUUCAGUUUUGGGAAGAGAGGGAGAAAAGAAAACAAAACAACACACCUGAUGUGAAAUCUUGGCAUUUUUCCCAUUCCCUCAAUGCUUUGGAUUUGGUUUGAAAUGCCCCGACCUCCCACUGGGAUGGAAACCACAGGCGGCUGAUCCCUUCAUGGGACAGGGAGUGCUUCCUGUGGCUGUGGCUGCUGGGAGCCCUUGGGAGGGGGAGCCUGGAGGAGACUCUGGUCUCCUUUUGGUGUUAAGCCAUGUUCACACUUUCUGUUGUGAUUCAGUUGGAGGGAGGAAACCUCGCAGCACAUAUUGCAUAAUGCUUAGGCUGGUCAGACUUCAUGGUCCAGGCAGGGUACUGGGAGGCUUUGCUGGCUGCUUUUCAGAGGCUGAUGGUGUUCCAAUGCCAGAGGCCGGCUCGAAGGCAGGGAUUGGAGCAGAGCCUGCAGUUAUGUGGCUGGUACCCAGGGAGGGUGGGUCGUCAUCAGGAAGAAGGGCAGCUUCAGAGGUUCUUCCUCCGGUGACGCAGAGGUGGGCUGUGGAGUAUUGGCUGAGUGCAGCUGGCACCUCUCCAGUACCAACCAGCCAUGCAGCCAGCUCGGCAGCGUUGGUGGAGGCUGUGGUUAGCAGAGCUGCUUCAUUUACACUUCUUGGUUGCAGGUAUCUUUCCAUCCCUUUCUUUAAGUCACUUGCCUUUUUAAACGAAGUUGGAAACCCCCCACACACGCAUUUUUAACACUAACACAAACCUUGGCACCUCCUGUGUACGUCUUGCAACUGCUUUCCUGGGGUCCUUUGCUGAUCUGAGCGUUUUACACCUCCUGUCUCCCCCCACCCCGCUGUGCCAUGGGCUCCUGUCCUGGCACCAGCCUUGUGACAGGUUGCUUGUGAUCCCCUGGAUUUCACUCUGUCCCUGUGUGAGUGCUGGGGGGAGGCAGAGCAGAGGGAAGUGGAUUUAUUUCCCUCUGCAGCUGAGCAUGUCCCCCAAGCCCUACUUGCACCCCAGCCUGACACCACGCUGAGCAUCGUCUGGCAGCCAAGGGCAGCAGCCCUGGCACAGCAACAGGCGAUGUCUUUUUGGUUUUGUUGUUUAUUUUUCUUUUAAAUCUUUCAUCCAACAUAAGCUCUCAAAUGCCGCAUCUGUAGCGGGGAGCGAGCACAGUCCUGAGGUGCGCCUGGGUUUUGCCGCAGCAGGGCUUUCUCUUCUCCAUGAGGGAACUUCCUCUGUCCUUAAUCUAGUACAGUUCCAGCCUUAUUUUUCUACUCCAGAUUGCUGAUUCUUCCUCUAUGUUAGAGACCUGUGCAUGGUGCUAUAGCCGGUGACCCAGGCAAGUGCCCGAGCUGCAGGUCAGCCAGAAAUACCUGCGCUCUGUGCGGCAGCAAGUGACUGAGGUUACCGCAGGAGCCAUACACCGCUCCUCCGCUUGAGACCUGGGCAGGGACUGUUGUCCCCCCCAUCCAUCACUGUCUCAUGCUGCCGGGGCUGCCAGUGGGUGCUGGUGUCUCUCAGUGGGUGACUCGUUCAGUGGAAAAAUCCUCAAGUUUGUGGGUUUUCUUUGGGGUUUUUUUUAUUUUUUUUUUUUUAGUUUUUUUUUUUAGUUUUUUCCUUGUCUGAGUAAAUCAGUGCUCAUACUGUAGAUGUUUUUGUAUAGCAUAAAUAUAAGUGCAAAUUACAGUAGUUGCUUGUACUUUGUUAGUGCAUUUGCUGGGGGGAAAAAAACAAAACAAAACAAAAAAAAAAGACACUUUUCAGGACUUUUUAAGUGCUCCAGAUGGCAAAGGGCGAGUGGGGACCCCUGAUGAGGCAUGGGCAGGCAGUGCCAGCAGCCCCGGCCUCACAAAGGCCUUGGUUUUGGAUGUAAACACAUGCCCAAAUCUGCCUGGCAUUUCUUUUUAGCAUGUGGCGAAGCUGUUGCCAAAAGUAGAAAGGAGAGAGACUGCAAAAGAAAAAGGGAGAAGAGGAAACAUUGCUCCUAUUUAAUUUGUUGGUCCUUUUUCCUUGUCUUCCCCUCCCUGUCUCCGGGACCAUCCCAGUGGUGCAGCCAGAGCUGGGAGACGCCUGGCACCCGCAUGACACCGGCUGAUGGCUCAGUGCCGGAGCCUCCGGAGCCUGGAGCCAAUUCCCCUUCCUCCGAGUACUUAAAAAGUCAACUUUAACAAAGUCAAACUAAUGUAUUUACUUCAUUGAACAGAAGCCACGUGUCUGAUACUUUUGCGCUCUUAAUUUCUUCUCUCUGGCCUAUUAUAAUUAGUAGUAUUAUUUGCCAAACUCUGAUCUUGUUGCCAAACACAAAUCAAGGUUUGUAAAGACUGUAUUUAGGAAGUAAUUGGUGUCUGUAAUGUAGGCUCCUCAUAACGUCUGCAUUUUUGGAUCUCUUUGAUUUUUAUUUCUGGUGUGCCAUAGACCAAUUUCUUGCCCAGUGUUUAAUAUUUUGUGGAAUUGUUGUUAAGAAGUGAAAUUGAUAAUACAAUAAAAAGGCUCACUUUUCAUUUUG
ensembl:lncRNA G protein subunit gamma 7